UAGGGAAUCUUGGACAAUGGGCGCAAGCCUGAUCCAGCCAUGCCGCGUGGAUGAUGAAGGCCUUAGGGUUGUAAAAUCCUUUCGUUGGGGACGAUAAUGACGGUACCCAAAGAAGAAGCUCCGGCUAACUACGUGCCAGCAGCCGCGGUAAUACGUAGGGACCAAGCGUUGUUCGGAUUUACUGGGCGUAAAGGGCGCGUAGGCGGUUUGUCAAGUCAGUUGUGAAAUCUCCGAGCUUAACUCGGAACGGUCAACUGAUACUGUCAAACUAGAGUACAGAAGGGGCAAUCGGAAUUCUUGGUGUAGCGGUGAAAUGCGUAGAUAUCAAGAGGAACACCUGAGGCGAAGGCGGGUUGCUGGGCUGGAUACUGACGCUGAAGCGCGAAAGCUAGGGUAGCAAACGGGAUUAGAUACCCGUGUAGUCCCUGAGCGGGCUGGCAAGGCGCAU
rnacentral:rRNA from 1 species